UUUAAACUACAUAAUAUUGCAAUGUCACUACUUUUGUUGCCAUUACAUUUGUUGUCGUUACGUCGUGAAGUUGCUGUUGUCUAAGUGUUCAAUGCAUAAUGAUCGUUUGACAUCACUUUAUCAGCUGUUUGUGAAUAAGGAAAACGCUUUUGUAAAAAAUUUGAUAAUGUCGGAUGAAGUAGAGCCAAUAAAAAAAAGAGGUUAACUGCGUUUUCAUCAAGAUGGCUAGAAAUACCAAACUUUGCUUCGUGGUUAAAAAAAAAGAUGAGUACACUGCUUUGUGCAAAUUGUGCUUGGUUGAUAUUACAAUUAAAUAUGAAGCCGUCAGAGGAUUGGAGAAACAUUCACGUACAAAAAGACAUCAAAAUAUUGUAAAGACCAACCAAAUUUCUGGAAAUGUGAGCAAAUUUAUGUUAAGAGAAUCAACAAAUACUGAAGAAAUACUUGUCGCGAAACUUGAUCUUUUAACCAUUUUCCACAAUAUUAAGCAUGGAUUAUAUAUUGGAUAUAAUAGCCUAGAUUGCCAUAGUAAGCUUGAGAAAAGUAUUUUUCCCGAUAGUAAAAUUGCAGCAAAAAUAACUUGUGGUCGUACAAAAAGUUCUGCUAUUGCACGAAAUGUUUUGGGACCAUUUGCGCAAGAGCAAGUAGUUUUGGAUUUAAAAAAGUGUUAUUAUUUUGCUAUUGGAAACGAUGCAGCAAGCUUUGGCAAUGUUAAAUAUUUUGCAUAUACUGUUCAAUAUUUUGAUUCUAAAAGUGGUAUUUGUAAAAAGAUCUUGGAUUUUUAUGAAGACGAUAACUCCAAGUCGAUUGAUAUAUGUAUAUAACAAAAUCGAGCAAAUAAAUGACAAUUUUCAUCUGAGUAUUGAUCAAAUAUCUGCAUUCAGUGCAGAUAAUGCAGCGGUUAAUUAUGGAAUUAACAAUUCGGUAUACCAAAAACUAUUGCUUGAAAAUAAGAACAUAUUAAAAGCAAAUUGCAAUUGCCAUGUAAUCAACAAUUGUGUAAAAGUUGGAAUAAGCUGUUUAUCAAUUGACAUCGAACAUAUUGUUAUCAAAAUUUUUAACGAGUUUAGUUCUUUAUCGUGCAAAACAAAAAAGUUAAAGGAGAUUUUCGAGUUCACCAAGAUGGAGUAUAAAUCGCUUCGCCGACACGUACCAACACGAUGGCUUUCGCUCCUACCAGCAAUAGAUAGAUUCAUUAUUUGUAGAUUACUGCUGGAUUGGCCUGCUAUCAAAAGAUAUUUUCUUUAAAAAAAAAGAAAACUGUUGCAGGGAGCUAUGGGAUUUUGUUGCCAGAGGGGUUUCGAAUAUUGAUGUAAUGAAUGAAAACGAAGAAUGCUUUGAAGAAGGUAUUUCGGAAGCAUAUUUAUAUUUUGCGCAAAAUGUUUUGCACGAUUUUCAUGUGGCAAUCAAAGUAUUGGAAUCUGAUUCAUGUACAAUUGUUGAAGUCGACACAGCAAUGGAAAAAUUAAGAAUAGGCCUCUAAAAUAGACUGAAUGAUAAUUUUUUUGGGAAUAAGGCAAAUACAUUGAUGCGCUAAAUGAACCCAGAUGACAAAGAUGAAUUUAAACAACAAGCGGAAUUAUUCCUAACAAAAACAUUAAACUACUUAGAAGCUAAGUACGAUUACGGCGAGAAUUCAAUUAUGAAACAGUUAUCUUUGUUUUGCAUCAAAACAAAAUUAUUCACAUGGACUGAAUCAAAUGAUGUGAUAUCAAACUUAAAUAUAUGUACCGAUAUUAAUUGUGAUGUGUUAUAUACUGAAUAUUGCUCCUUACGUAAUAUUUACGACGGUCUAAUUUUUUUUUCAAAAUACAAUGAAAAUGAAAUGAAAAAUAUGAAAAAAAUUAUUUCAUUCACAUUUUCUAUACCAAUUAGCAACGCUUUUUGUGAAAAAAUAUUUAGUUUAUUUAAUAAUUUAUUUUCGAAAGAAAGGAACAAAAUGCUUAUAGAUCUAAUAAAAGCAGAGCUUUUAAUAAGACAAAAUUAAUCUGAAAAUUGUAAUGAAUUUAUAAAAUUUUUAAAUACAGAAAAAGGCAUAAAAUUGGCAAAGGCUUUAAAAAGUAAUAACAAAUAUACAUUUUGAAAUAUGUAUUAUGCCUAUACGUACUUAUUGAUAUGAAUUUAUAUAUGUUUUUUUUACUAUGAUAAUUUUUUUUUUUUAAAUAAUGGACUUUUUUAAUUUGUUCGCGGUGUCCAGACAAGUCCAUUUUUUUUUUAUCUUGUCCGGUUAAUAACGAUUUUCUAUCUGGCAACCCUAGCCCAGACACAUUUGCGGCUAAGUGGUGAAGUGUUUAAGAAAACUUAAAGAGCCAGCAAAAGAAAACGGAAAAAGUGAAAAGGAAUAUAAAACCUUUUAACUGGGAAAAAUAUUCCAUUUGAAAGUUCAGAGUAAGGGCGCUGUUAGAGUAAAACGAUUUGUUGAGUGUAAUUGAUAAAAAACAAACGGUGAUAAGUGAGAAAGUGAAACGGGCAGAAAGAAGUGCAAAGAGCCUUGUUAUCGAAUAUUUGAGUGACUCGUUUUUAGUUUUUGCCAACAAUGGGAAUACGGCUAAACACAUUUUGGACAAUUUGGAUACUAUUUACGAGCGUGAUACUUCGCUAGUGAUCCACUUUCAUUUAUUUGAUGAUCUGGUAACUGAGUUAGUCGCAGCAGGAGCCAAAAUAGACGAACUGGAUAAAGUGUAUCAUAGAAACUCUCACUGAGAGCAAUUUAACAUUAGCCUUUGUAAAAACCGUCUUCUCGAACCAGAAUGUUACUGUUGAAAGUAAUGUUGGAGAGAGACAGGCUCAGAUGGCAACGCCAACGCAGGCAGAACGUGCAUUUACGUUUAUGAUGAAAGUAGCGGUAAAAGAGACACAGACUCAGAUGGCAACAACAACGCAUCCAGAGCACAGUAUAUACAGUAGAUAACCUUUUCGUGGUAGCUUUCUGAGGGGUGAAUAGCGGCCAUCUUGGAUUUGCAACGCAGUGCUGUAUAUAUUGAGGCAGUAAAUACUUAGCAAAUUUAUUCUAUUAAAUAACAAAAACUAUAAAUGUUGUUGCUUAAUAUAAAAGAAAAUUGUUUAUUAAUGACAUAUAUUUACUAAUAUUUGAUUUAAACGCCAUAGUGUGUCAUGUUUCGCCCAUAAAAAUAUCAUUUACUGAUAGUCAGACAUUCUUUAUGUAGUGAGUUCUUAUUAAAAAAAAAGCAGCCCUGUUUUUAGAUUUCUCUGUGGUGAGUUUUCUUCUGAA